rnacentral:rRNA from 1 species
AGACCGAUAGCGAACAAGUACAGUGAUGGAAAGAUGAAAAGAACUUUGAAAAGAGAGUGAAAAAGUACGUGAAAUUGUUGAAAGGGAAGGGCUUGAGAUCAGACUUGGUAUUUUGUAUGUUACUCUUUCGGGGGUGGCCUCUACAGUUUACCGGGCCAGCAUCAGUUUGGGCGGUAGGAGAAUUGCAAAGAAAUGUGGCACUGCCUCGGUAGUGUGUUAUAGUCUUUGUCGAUACUGCCAGCCUAGACUGAGGACUGCGGCUUCGGCCUAGGAUGUUGGCAUAAUGAUCUUAAGUCGCCCGUCUUGAAACACGGACCAAG